UCAUGUCAAAUUUAUUUCAUCUCAUAUCCCUAUGCUUGUCAAGAAUUUGCUGGGGCUUUAAAAUAUAUCUUCUUUUUAUGCCUGCCACAAUUUUUUAUUGAAAAUUUCUGUUUUGAUAUAUCUCGGCUGAGGCAAUGAUUGGUCUUCAUGAGAGCACUAAAUGGGCGCAAAUCGCAAAGGUUUGUUGGUCUUCUCAAGGGGUUCUGAGAAAACUAACAUUUUGGAAAGUGCUAAUUACUGCUCAAAUCUAGAUAUGUCAUUUUGUGUCUCUAAUAUUGUAAUCCAACAGCAACCUAUAGGAUGAUCUGUUGGUUUACUGAAAAUCCUUGUGUUUUUACACACUUGUGAAUAGGUGAAGUUUUAUUGAUAUGGUUGCUUUUAAUUUUUUUUUUUUCUGUUCUAAUUAUCCGAUAGGUUUUUGAAGAUGCAUACAAAUCACAAUAAUGCUCAAUAAUCCUGGAUAAUAUUGAAAGGUUGCUAGAGUAUAUUGCUAUUGGUCCGAGGUUUUCAAAUUUGACAUCUAAAACAGUGAUGCUCCUUCUCAAGCGCACUCCAAAGGGGACAAAGCUUCUGGUAGUGAAUUGGGCUUCUUAGACUCAAUUGAUUUUGUGAUACCUUCUCCGUCACUUACAAUGUUCCCACAUUAAAGACAAAGGAUGCAAAGAAGGUGCUAGAACAGUUAAAUAUCUUUGCUGAUGAGGAAUAUUGUUAGUGUUGAGUUGAGAACAGAGUACUAUGUACUUAUACUACACAUAACAUGUGCAGCAGCAUGGAAGAGCAAAAGAUCAUCCUUUCAAGUAUAUGGAAUAUUCGACAUCUUCGAUGCAUUGGUUGAGAUUGUAUUCCUUACUAUAUUAGCAUACUGGUAGUCUGGUACUCGCAAUACUUGUUGUUUGCUGCAGUUUGAUUUGGCAAUUUAUAUCAUUUCACCCCCAGCAGCACUGUUCAAGA